rnacentral:rRNA from 1 species
AGCGAACGCUGGCGGCAGGCCUAACACAUGCAAGUCGAGCGCCCAGCAAUGGGAGCGGCAGACGGGUGAGUAACGCGUGGGGAUCUGCCCUUUGGUACGGAAUAACCCAGGGAAACUUGGACUAAUACCGUAUGUGCCCUUCGGGGGAAAGAUUUAUCGCCAAAGGAUGAACCCGCGUCUGAUUAGCUAGUUGGUGGGGUAAUGGCCCACCAAGGCGACGAUCAGUAGCUGGUCUGAGAGGAUGAUCAGCCACACUGGGACUGAGACACGGCCCAGACUCCUACGGGAGGCAGCAGUGGGGAAUAUUGGACAAUGGGCGAAAGCCUGAUCCAGCCAUGCCGCGUGAGUGAUGAAGGCCUUAGGGUUGUAAAGCUCUUUCGCCGGUGAAGAUAAUGACGGUAACCGGAGAAGAAGCCCCGGCUAACUUCGUGCCAGCAGCCGCCGUAAAAC